AGCGUACACGGUGGAUGCCCUGGCAGUCAGAGGCGAUGAAGGACGUGCUAAUCUGCGAUAAGCGUCGGUAAGGUGAUAUGAACCGUUAUAACCGGCGAUUUCCGAAUGGGGAAACCCAGUGUGUUUCGACACACUAUCAUUAACUGAAUCCAUAGGUUAAUGAGGCGAACCGGGGGAACUGAAACAUCUAAGUACCCCGAGGAAAAGAAAUCAACCGAGAUUCCCCCAGUAGCGGCGAGCGAACGGGGAGCAGCCCAGAGCCUGAAUCAGUGUGUGUGUUAGUGGAAGCGUCUGGAAAGGCGCGCGAUACAGGGUGACAGCCCCGUACACAAAAAUGCACAUGCUGUGAGCUCGAUGAGUAGGGCGGGACACGUGGUAUCCUGUCUGAAUAUGGGGGGACCAUCCUCCAAGGCUAAAUACUCCUGACUGACCGAUAGUGAACCAGUACCGUGAGGGAAAGGCGAAAAGAACCCCGGCGAGGGGAGUGAAAAAGAACCUGAAACCGUGUACGUACAAGCAGUGGGAGCACGCUUAGGCGUGUGACUGCGUACCUUUUGUAUAAUGGGUCAGCGACUUAUAUUCUGUAGCAAGGUUAACCGAAUAGGGGAGCCGAAGGGAAACCGAGUCUUAACUGGGCGUUAAGUUGCAGGGUAUAGACCCGAAACCCGGUGAUCUAGCCAUGGGCAGGUUGAAGGUUGGGUAACACUAACUGGAGGACCGAACCGACUAAUGUUGAAAAAUUAGCGGAUGACUUGUGGCUGGGGGUGAAAGGCCAAUCAAACCGGGAGAUAGCUGGUUCUCCCCGAAAGCUAUUUAGGUAGCGCCUCGUGAAUUCAUCUCCGGGGGUAGAGCACUGUUUCGGCAAGGGGGUCAUCCCGACUUACCAACCCGAUGCAAACUGCGAAUACCGGAGAAUGUUAUCACGGGAGACACACGGCGGGUGCUAACGUCCGUCGUGAAGAGGGAAACAACCCAGACCGCCAGCUAAGGUCCCAAAGUCAUGGUUAAGUGGGAAACGAUGUGGGAAGGCCCAGACAGCCAGGAUGUUGGCUUAGAAGCAGCCAUCAUUUAAAGAAAGCGUAAUAGCUCACUGGUCGAGUCGGCCUGCGCGGAAGAUGUAACGGGGCUAAACCAUGCACCGAAGCUGCGGCAGCGACGCUUAUGCGUUGUUGGGUAGGGGAGCGUUCUGUAAGCCUGCGAAGGUGUGCUGUGAGGCAUGCUGGAGGUAUCAGAAGUGCGAAUGCUGACAUAAGUAACGAUAAAGCGGGUGAAAAGCCCGCUCGCCGGAAGACCAAGGGUUCCUGUCCAACGUUAAUCGGGGCAGGGUGAGUCGACCCCUAAGGCGAGGCCGAAAGGCGUAGUCGAUGGGAAACAGGUUAAUAUUCCUGUACUUGGUGUUACUGCGAAGGGGGGACGGAGAAGGCUAUGUUGGCCGGGCGACGGUUGUCCCGGUUUAAGCGUGUAGGCUGGUUUUCCAGGCAAAUCCGGAAAAUCAAGGCUGAGGCGUGAUGACGAGGCACUACGGUGCUGAAGCAACAAAUGCCCUGCUUCCAGGAAAAGCCUCUAAGCAUCAGGUAACAUCAAAUCGUACCCCAAACCGACACAGGUGGUCAGGUAGAGAAUACCAAGGCGCUUGAGAGAACUCGGGUGAAGGAACUAGGCAAAAUGGUGCCGUAACUUCGGGAGAAGGCACGCUGAUAUGUAGGUGAAGUCCCUCGCGGAUGGAGCUGAAAUCAGUCGAAGAUACCAGCUGGCUGCAACUGUUUAUUAAAAACACAGCACUGUGCAAACACGAAAGUGGACGUAUACGGUGUGACGCCUGCCCGGUGCCGGAAGGUUAAUUGAUGGGGUUAUCCGUAAGGAGAAGCUCUUGAUCGAAGCCCCGGUAAACGGCGGCCGUAACUAUAACGGUCCUAAGGUAGCGAAAUUCCUUGUCGGGUAAGUUCCGACCUGCACGAAUGGCGUAAUGAUGGCCAGGCUGUCUCCACCCGAGACUCAGUGAAAUUGAACUCGCUGUGAAGAUGCAGUGUACCCGCGGCAAGACGGAAAGACCCCGUGAACCUUUACUAUAGCUUGACACUGAACAUUGAGCCUUGAUGUGUAGGAUAGGUGGGAGGCUUUGAAGUGUGGACGCCAGUCUGCAUGGAGCCGACCUUGAAAUACCACCCUUUAAUGUUUGAUGUUCUAACGUUGACCCGUAAUCCGGGUUGCGGACAGUGUCUGGUGGGUAGUUUGACUGGGGCGGUCUCCUCCUAAAGAGUAACGGAGGAGCACGAAGGUUGGCUAAUCCUGGUCGGACAUCAGGAGGUUAGUGCAAUGGCAUAAGCCAGCUUGACUGCGAGCGUGACGGCGCGAGCAGGUGCGAAAGCAGGUCAUAGUGAUCCGGUGGUUCUGAAUGGAAGGGCCAUCGCUCAACGGAUAAAAGGUACUCCGGGGAUAACAGGCUGAUACCGCCCAAGAGUUCAUAUCGACGGCGGUGUUUGGCACCUCGAUGUCGGCUCAUCACAUCCUGGGGCUGAAGUAGGUCCCAAGGGUAUGGCUGUUCGCCAUUUAAAGUGGUACGCGAGCUGGGUUUAGAACGUCGUGAGACAGUUCGGUCCCUAUCUGCCGUGGGCGCUGGAGAAUUGAGGGGGGCUGCUCCUAGUACGAGAGGACCGGAGUGGACGCAUCACUGGUGUUCGGGUUGUCAUGCCAAUGGCACUGCCCGGUAGCUAAAUGCGGAAGAGAUAAGUGCUGAAAGCAUCUAAGCACGAAACUUGCCCCGAGAUGAGUUCUCCCUGACUCCUUGA
rnacentral:rRNA from 1 species